GCUUGGGUGGCUCAGUUGGUUAGAGCGUAGGUCUCAUACCACUGUAUGAAUUUCCAUGAUGGAAAAAUAAUCCUAAGGUCGCGAGUUCGACCCUCGUCCCGAGCA